AUGGAGAACGCACACACAAAGACCGUGGAGGAGGUGUUGGCUCAUUUCAGCGUCAACGAGAGCACCGGGCUCAGCCUCGAGCAGGUCAAGAAGCUCAAGGAGAGAUGGGGUUCCAACGAAUUACCAGCGGAAGAAGGAAAAACAUUACUGGAGCUUGUGAUUGAACAGUUUGAAGACUUAUUAGUUAGAAUUUUGUUGCUGGCAGCUUGUAUAUCUUUUGUUUUGGCAUGGUUUGAAGAAGGGGAAGAAACAAUUACAGCCUUUGUAGAGCCUUUUGUAAUCUUGCUUAUAUUGGUAGCCAAUGCAAUUGUGGGCGUGUGGCAGGAAAGAAAUGCUGAAAAUGCCAUCGAAGCUCUUAAAGAAUAUGAACCUGAAAUGGGAAAAGUUUAUCGACAGGACCGAAAGAGUGUACAACGGAUUAAAGCGAAAGACAUAGUCCCUGGUGAUAUUGUAGAAAUAGCUGUUGGUGAUAAAGUUCCUGCUGAUAUAAGAUUAACUUCCAUCAAAUCUACAACUUUACGAGUAGACCAGUCAAUUCUCACAGGUGAAUCUGUAUCUGUAAUUAAGCACACUGAUCCAGUGCCCGAUCCUCGUGCUGUAAACCAAGAUAAGAAGAAUAUGCUGUUUUCUGGUACAAACAUUGCUGCUGGAAAAGCAAUGGGAGUGGUGGUAGCAACUGGAGUGAACACUGAAAUUGGCAAGAUCCGGGAUGAAAUGGUGGCUACCGAACAGGAGAGAACACCCCUCCAGCAGAAACUGGAUGAGUUUGGAGAGCAGUUGUCCAAAGUUAUCUCCCUCAUUUGCAUUGCAGUUUGGAUAAUAAACAUUGGACAUUUCAAUGAUCCAGUUCAUGGUGGCUCUUGGAUUAGAGGUGCUAUCUAUUACUUUAAAAUUGCAGUUGCUCUUGCUGUUGCUGCUAUUCCAGAAGGUCUCCCUGCUGUCAUUACCACCUGCUUGGCUCUUGGAACUCGGAGAAUGGCAAAAAAGAACGCUAUUGUUAGAAGUCUCCCAUCUGUAGAAACCCUGGGUUGUACGUCUGUUAUUUGCUCCGACAAGACAGGCACCCUUACAACCAAUCAGAUGUCAGUUUGCAGGAUGUUUAUUCUGGACAGAGUGGAAGGAGAUAGCUGCUGCCUGAGUGAGUUCACCAUAACUGGAUCAACGUAUGCUCCACUUGGAGAAGUGCAUAAAGAUGACAAACAAGUGAAAUGUCAUCAGUAUGAUGGCCUUGUCGAAUUAGCAACAAUUUGUGCACUUUGUAAUGAUUCUGCUCUGGAUUACAAUGAGGCAAAAGGAGUGUAUGAAAAGGUUGGGGAAGCUACAGAAACCGCACUGACCUGCCUGGUUGAGAAGAUGAACGUAUUUGACACCGAACUGAAAGGUCUCUCCAAAAUUGAACGUGCAAAUGCAUGCAAUUCGGUCAUAAAACAACUGAUGAAGAAAGAAUUCACUCUAGAGUUUUCAAGGGACAGAAAGUCCAUGUCUGUCUAUUGCACACCAAAUAAACCUAGCCGGACUUCCAUGAGCAAGAUGUUUGUUAAGGGUGCCCCUGAAGGUGUAAUUGAGAGAUGUACACACAUUCGUGUUGGAAGUACUAAAAUGCCUAUGACUCAAGGAAUCAAGCAUAAGAUCAUGAGUGUUAUUCGAGAAUGGGGCUCUGGCCGAGAUACGCUGCGUUGUUUAGCUCUAGCAACUCACGACAAUCCACCGAGAAGAGAAGAAAUGAACCUGGAUGACUCUGCCAAUUUUAUUAAAUACGAGACCAAUCUGACUUUUGUUGGUUGCGUGGGUAUGCUGGAUCCACCAAGAACUGAAGUAGCUUCGUCCAUAAAGCUCUGUAGGCAAGCCGGUAUCCGUGUCAUUAUGAUUACUGGAGAUAACAAAGGCACUGCAGUGGCCAUCUGUCGUCGAAUUGGUAUCUUUGGGAGUGAAGAAGAUGUUUCUUCAAAGGCUUUUACAGGACGAGAGUUUGAUGAGCUUGCUCCCCCGGCACAGAGAGAUGCUUGCCUAAAUGCUCGUUGCUUUGCUCGGGUAGAGCCGUCCCACAAGUCUAAGAUUGUGGAAUUCCUUCAGUCUUUUGAUGAGAUCACAGCUAUGACUGGUGAUGGUGUAAAUGAUGCUCCUGCCCUGAAGAAAGCAGAGAUUGGCAUUGCUAUGGGGUCUGGCACUGCUGUAGCAAAGACUGCCUCUGAGAUGGUGUUGGCCGAUGACAACUUCUCCACAAUCGUAGCUGCCGUUGAAGAAGGCCGAGCAAUCUACAAUAACAUGAAACAGUUCAUUCGCUACCUCAUCUCUUCUAAUGUUGGCGAGGUUGUUUGUAUUUUCCUGACUGCUGCUCUUGGUUUUCCGGAGGCUUUGAUUCCAGUCCAACUACUCUGGGUGAAUCUUGUGACAGAUGGCCUGCCUGCUACUGCUCUGGGAUUUAACCCCCCUGAUCUGGACAUCAUGAAUAAGCCCCCCCGCAAUCCUAAAGAGCCUCUGAUCAGUGGGUGGCUCUUCUUCCGUUAUCUAGCUAUCGGAUGUUAUGUUGGAGCUGCUACAGUGGGUGCUGCUGCAUGGUGGUUCAUUGCUGCUGAUGGUGGCCCAAGAAUUACCUUCUACCAGCUGAGCCAUUUCUUGCAGUGCAAAGAUGACAACCCUGACUUUGAAGGCGUUGAUUGUGUGAUCUUUGAGUCCCCGUACCCAAUGACGAUGGCCCUGUCGGUUCUGGUUACUAUAGAGAUGUGUAAUGCUCUUAACAGCUUAUCAGAAAAUCAGUCAUUAAUGAGGAUGCCUCCAUGGGAAAACAUCUGGCUGGUGGGCUCUAUUUGUUUAUCCAUGUCACUCCAUUUCCUAAUUCUCUAUGUCGAACCAUUGCCGCUCAUCUUCCAGAUCACACCUCUGAAUGUGACCCAGUGGCUGAUGGUGCUGAAAAUAUCAUUACCUGUGAUUCUGAUGGAUGAGACACUUAAGUUUGUGGCCCGUAACUAUCUGGAACCUGGUAAAGAGUGUGUGCGACCUUCCACCAAACCGUGUUCUUUCUCGGCAUGCACCGAAGGGAUUUCCUGGCCGUUUGUGCUUAUCAUAAUGCCAUUGGUUAUCUGGCUUUACAGUACAGACACUAACUUUAGUGAUAUGUUCUGGUCUUGACUGACAUAGUUUUACAUAAAGAUGUUUAACUUAAUCAAUUAAUUUUUUUAUUGUUUAAAGCAACUGUCUAUUUCUGCUGAAUUUUCACAUGAACAUAUUUGCUGGUGAAGGAGGUUUCAUACUCUAGGUUUUGUUUUGCUUUUUCUGACUACAGUGGGGCAAGAUUUUCAUUUUUUAUACACAUAAUUAAAGUGUCCAUUGACAUGUACAGAGAACUAACACUAUUUUAUGCAAAUAUUUUUUUGUAGAUGAAAAAGCAUGUACAGUGUUCUGUUUAAUAGUCUCAUCCUUGUAAAAAAAAAAAAAAAUAGUUGAGCCAGCAGACAUUGUCACCAAACUAAUUGGCAGCAGAUUUUAGGGAAUGAAUGUGUGGUUUUUUUCUAAAACUAAAUAGCAUGUAUUGUGUCUUCUGCAUGAUCAUCUGAAUUUAAUUUGAUGUCACUGUCCAAUUUUUUUAUUCAUAAGCCAAUUUUUCUGCACUGAGCAGAGUACUGCUACCUCAGUCAGUAUUUUUUGGUUUGCCACCUCACACCCCUCCUUGCCCACCCAGUCCCAUCCCCCUCCCAACAUGACCCCUUCCUUUGACUACCACUCCCUCCGCUCUACUCCUUCCUUGCUUCAUUUUGGAUUUUGACUGUUUUGUUUACACCAGUCUCAAGAGGUAUGCCUAUUCUUGCUUGUGCAGAAAAUAUUGUUCCAGGUUCAAUCUACUGGGUUUUUCCUCCCCCUCCGUAGUUUUUAAGGUUAUUUAUUUAAAUGUCUAAUGUAUUUUAUUGUAAAAGACAUUGUUUUGCCAAUGUUGCCUACUUCAGCGGCACUUCACAACCUAGUUUAAAAACAAAUAAAACCUUUUAAAUGGACAGAGAAAAAGAACUGUCUUGUUUUAACUUUAAAAGUGGCCUAAGCCUAGUUUUGAUUCAUUAUCUAAUAUAUAUAUAUCCAGUUUUCUUUCAAGACUUAAGAUCAGAGCCUUAGCAUUGUGACCGAGGGGAGAAAAAGAUACUUGCACUUCACAGAAGUUGGAUUUCUUAUACACAGAGCACUUACUGUCAUCUGCUAUUACACUUUAUGCAAGUUACUCUGCUGGCCUGAACAAAUUCGUGUGUGUAUGCGUGGGUAUGUGUGCGCGCGUGCGUGUUUUGUAAAAUCUGUAAAUAGCACAUGACCAAAUGAACAUAUUGUAUAGAACUAUUUUUAUUUUAAUGUGGCACUAACCACCACCAUCAUUAUUAUAAAUGUUUGUGCAUGUAUUUAAGGUCAGUCCUAUUCCAACCGUGUGUACGUCAUUAACAGUCCUAACUGUGAUGUUUUUCUCCAAUGCCUUCCAACAUUCAUCAACUAAACAAUACUGGAGUAACCGCUUCCUAAACAAUUUUGCAGAAAUGUAAGGUUGUUUCGUUGCGUGCUUGUGCGUUUUUUAGCAACACUUCUACCACCCCUAUGCAUGUGUGAUGUUGGGAAACAAAUGGAAAAAGAUUUUAAAAAAAAGUCAGAUAAUUCCCCACCCUACCCCCCCCACACACCCAGACUCAUUAUGUGCUUAUGUGCAGGAAAUGUGUAAUCUAACAAUGGGGUUUCAGUUUAAAAACACAAAUGUGCGAUAUAGCUGAACAAAUCAAAAAACUCUGCAGAGAAGUUUGGUUUCUUUGCUGCAUGAAGAUUUUGUUAUGAAAAGUUAAGAAGCUGUCACUCAGCAAAGUUUCCUCUUUCUCUGUGGAAAAUGUCAAAGCUUAAAAUAUACUGAAUUCUAAUGCAUGCCUUCAGUUGUAAGUAGCAAAUUGUGUUAUCAUCUAAGUGUGCUACUCAGUAUACGGCUAUGUAUGGUAAGCUUAUUUAAAUUCAUCGAAAACUACAGAUGUUGAAAGGUAAAACGUAAGCCUCCAGUUCAUAACUCCGAUUAUUUUCAUUUGUGUGCGAACACAACUUCUUUGCACUGUAAUGAAAUAACUAAUGAAAUCAAAAGCAGUACAGAUAGUGAUGCAUUUAUCGUUUAAAAAAAAUUAAAAAGCUAAGGCAACUAUCAAACGCAUGUUUGACCUAAAUCUGUACAUACAGAUCAGUUUAUUUCUGUGCUGAUUACAAUGAGCAUCACACCGAUGUCAUGGUUUCAGGUAAAUAAAUCUAUUCUCCAAUAGAUCCUUUGCGUGUUACUUCAUGCACUUUGUUUUCCGCAGGUGUGCGUGUAUGUGCUUGAACGGUCUCUUGUUAAUGCCGGGAUGACCCUCACUGGUAACAACAUUGCCACAAGUUGCGGUCCUUGUUCCUGCAGUAUCGGUCCCGCUGCCAUGGGGGUUUUCUUGUUCAGGGGCUCCUGGCCCAAAUAUAGGGAUUAUUGUCUGGCACUGAGAGACAUUUUUCAAAAAUCUCCUCUUCUCUGUUUGUAAGAUCUUUUGAGAAACCGCAAACAAUAAACAUUUCUUUCCCUA